ACGCACGUGUGAAAACUUGAAAGGAAUUCACGGAAGGGCACCACAAGAACGCGUGGAGCAUGUGGCUUAAUUUCACCCAACGCGGGAAAUCUUACCGGGCGACCGGACACACUGAGGAUUGACAGGCAAAAGAUACAAGUUUUUUCGGGAAUUUGCAUUGUAAAAUAUGCGAGUCCUUUCAUGAUUAUGUGAUAGGUGGUGCAUGGCCGUUCUUAGUUCGUGGAGUGAUCUGUCUGCUUAAUUGCGUUUCACAACGAUUUAAAAUGCUAUGUUUCCGCGUUUGCUGUUCGGUUUUCCUUCGGGUUAACUUUGAACGCGCGUGGCGUAGUUUAAAACAAUCGGAAAGCAACGAACGUGACCG
rnacentral:rRNA from 1 species